rnacentral:rRNA from 1 species
AUUGAACGCUGGCGGCAGGCCUAACACAUGCAAGUCGAGCGAGAGGCGGACGGGUGAGUAAUGUAUGGGGACUGCACGAUAGAGGGGGAUAACUACUGGAAACGGUGGCUAAUACCGCAUACUAUCGGAUAACCCAUAUGGGAUGAUAUAGUAGGUGGGGUAAAGGCUCACAUAGGAGACGAUGUCUAGCUGGUCUGAGAGGAUGAUGGGCCACACUGGUACUGAGACACGGCCCAGACUCCUACGGAGGCAGCAGUGGUGAAUGUUGCACAAUGGGCGCAAGCCUGAUGCAGCCAUGCCGAGUGUAUGAAGAAGGUCUUAGGGUUGUAAAGUACUUUCAGCGGGGAGGCGUUACCCGCAGAAGAAGCACCGGCUAGCUCCGUGCCAGCCGCCGCGGUAAUAC